GACGAACGCUGGCGGCGCGCCUAACACAUGCAAGUCGAACGAGCGAGCGAGAGCUUGCUUUCUCGAGCGAGUGGCGAACGGGUGAGUAACGCGUGAGGAACCUGCCUCAAAGAGGGGGACAACAGCUGGAAACGACUGCUAAUACCGCAUAAGACCACGACCCGGCAUCGGGUAGUGGGAAAAGGAGCAAUCCGCUUUGAGAUGGCCUCGCGUCCGAUUAGCUAGUUGGUGAGGUAACGGCCCACCAAGGCGACGAUCGGUAGCCGGACUGAGAUGCUGAAAGGCCGCGAUGGGACUGAGGCACGGACCAGACUCCUACGCGGGGGAGGAGUGGGGAAUAUUGCAGACGGAAGGAAACCCCGAUGCAGCGACGUCGCGGAUAAGAAGAAGGGGGUUGGAUAGUAAUCUCCUGUUGAGCGGGGAGAUAAUGACGGUACUCAGCAAAGAAGUGACGGCUAACUACGUG
rnacentral:rRNA from 1 species